rnacentral:ncRNA from 12 species
GGGUGCAGCGAUCUCCGCUGCAGGUGCCGUGGGGGCCGGGCCGCCUCCG